rnacentral:rRNA from 1 species
AUUGAACGCUGGCGGCAGGCCUAACACAUGCAAGUCGAGCGGAGCGGCGGACGGGUGAGUAAUGCCUAGGUAUCUGCCCGGUAGCGGGGGAUAACGUCCGGAAACGGGAGCCAAUACCGCAUACUCUCAGUUUAGCCUUUGUCGGAUUAGCUAGUUGGUGGGGUAAAGGCCUACCAAGGCGACGAUCCGUAACGGGUUUGAGAGGAUGCUCAGUCACACUGGAACUGAUAAACGGUCCAGACUCCUACGGGAGGCAGCAGUGGGGAAUAUUGGACAAUGGGCGAAAGCCUGAUCCGGCCAUGCCGCGGGUGUGAGGAGGGUCUUGGGAUUGUAAGGCACUUUAAGUUGGGAGGCGUUACCUACAGAAUAAGCACCGGCUAACUACGUGCCAGCAGCCGCGGUAAUUC